rnacentral:rRNA from 1 species
CAAUAGCGUAUAUUUAAGUUGUUGCAGUUAAAAAGCUCGUAGUUGGAUUUCGGUUGAGAACGGCCGGUCCGCCGUUUGGUGUGCACUGGCUGGUCUCAACUUCCUGAUGAGGACAUGCUCUUGGUUAACGCUGAGACAUGGAGUCAUCGUGGUUACUUGAAAAAAUUAGAGUGUUCAAAGCGGGCUUACGCUUGAAUAUAUUAGCAUGGAAUAACACUAUAGGACUCCUGUCCUAUCUCGUUGGUCUCGGGAUGGGAGUAAUGAUUAAGAGGAACAGUUGGGGGCAUUCGUAUUUCAUUGUCAGAGGUGAAAUUCUUGGAUUUAUGAAAGACGAACUUCUGCGAAAGCAUUUGCCAAGGAUGUUUUCAUUAAUCAAGAACGAAAGUUGGGGGCUCGAAGACGAUCAGAU